AAUGUAAUUGCUAGAUCAUAUGGUAGUUUACAUGUCUAGCUUUUUAAGAAACUGCCAAACUGUUUUCCAGAGUAGCUAUACCAUUUUACAUUCCCACCAGCAAU
rnacentral:pre_miRNA from 1 species